GAGAAGGAGAGAGAAGGCGAGAGAUGGCUCUGAGAAGUCGAAGGGCUUUGGAUCGUCGAAGUCGAAGGGGGCUAUAGCUACUCAAGUGGAUUGGAUUGUCGAAGUCAAAGGGCUAUCGCUAGUCGAAAUGGACUGGAUGGAGGUCGAUUGGCUCAAGAUUGAAGUCAUGAGAACAAGAGAGAGAGUGAGGCUUAUGGUGAAAGUCGUCCAAAUUGAAGUCGCUGACCAGGUUUGUACUCUUUUUCUCUUUCGUUCACUCUUCUCGUAGACCGUGUCCCAUGGCGUGUCUAGAUUUGGACAUGCGUGUCCCCACCAUGUCUUAGCUGUGUCCCUUGCAAAAAAAUAAAUUGAAUUAAGGGGACAUGCCAUCUGACGUGUCUCGUACGUAUCCCCGUAUCCGACACCGCCACGGCUUCCAUUUUGGCGUGUCCAUACUUCAUAGUAUAAAGUCCACCAUUUAGCAAUGAUGUUAUUGGACGAGGGACCAAGCUUCGUUAUUACUUUAACAUAGUGUUAGACCAUAACCUAUUAGCUGGGUGGGUUUGUUGGUCUCGCUAACCCAUCAAAAAGGUCAAGAUUGGAUGUGAGGAAUGUGAUGCAAGUAGGUAAUGUAAACCAAUAUGUAUGUUCAUUAAAAAAAAUGUGCAAUCCUGACCGCCUUGGAAACCACCAUAAACUGAAUACAUGGAAUUAUUAUGACAAUUAUAGCACAAGUACAAACCUGACUCAGCAACAAAUAAUUUUUUGUCUGGAAUAUAGUCAUGACAUUAGGAGAUAGUCAAGAAAAUAUUUGGGACAAUGUUAGAGUAAGAUGAUUGUACAUGGAAAGUAGUGUUGCUUGUGCAAACACACACAAGACAGGCCGCAUCAGCACCACGCCAUUAUCCAGUGUCAUUUGUGACACAUGGACCAAUCACAUAUCUCUGUAUACUUCCCUUCUAAGGUAAGUCAUGGUUGAAGCUAAUGUCAACAAGUUUAAGUCUCAAGCCUAGGUGCCUAGGGAAUUUCUCCAGACAUCUCCCAGUCUGUAGAAGUACCUACCCAGCAUUUCAAUUUUCUGCUUGCUUAUUCACCUUCUUCAUCAAUUGCUAACAUAACCAACAAAUACUAUUUCCUUCUCUUUCUUUGCAAAAUAAUGACCCAUUUCAAGAUUUAUACAUUUCCAAUCCUCCUUGUGCGGUGUUUGGCUUUUAUGGAAGAAAAAUUAGAUAGAGAGAGAGAGCUCAAUAUCCCUAAACGUGAUUACAUUGACUUUAAUAUCUUUGGUACUUAUAGAGGCUGGGCUUCUCAUAUCUUUUGUGAUCACCGAUAACUGGAAAGAUGGAAAGCAAUUUAUCCCUAUGAUUCCGGCAUAGCUUCUGUUGCAUGGGACGUAUGCAUAGCCACCUAUAACCCACUUCUUUUCCCAAGAAUUUUUUAUGAGCCAGACGGGUUCUCCAUUGUAAGUCCCCUUGCCUACAAGACUAAUCACAUGUCAUUCCACACGUGGAUGGUUGACAAGAUCUAAUUCAUUACUCAGUUUCAUCAUAUCAAGCCCGUGUAAAAAACAGGACGGCUUGUAUACACUCUACAUAUAAAAAUAAAUUACAAUAACAUUUAAUUACAUGCUAUUUUAAAAUUAUGCGAAUAAAACAUUUUUGUAUUCAGUAGUUUAUAUCCCCUUAUGAAGAUCGUAAGACUCAUGGUAGGCUAUAUAAAUAGUGAUCGGGUGAUACUGGAGAAUUCUUGACGUCUCAUCCUCAUUUUCGGCUUCAAUCCCGUAAUAUCCAUCGAUAAAAACUCUCGGACUAUGAAACUACAAAAAAUUAUAAACAUCAUAAAUACAAUAUAUAUAUAAUUUUUAUCAGCAAAAAUAAAUUUUAAUAAUAAUAAUUAAGGAACAAUAUAAAUGAUUAUCAUCAAUAAAGGGAGGGUAAGUGCAAAAGAGCAUCACAACAAAACUAAACGAUCCCAAUUAGGUUUACACCGAAAUAGCUUGCCCAAUCAUUUGCUAGCACAACCCAACAUUGGUGUCACCAACAAACAAGACAAGUGCAAUACGCAAAAUAAAAAGAAAGCCAAAAGUGAAACGAAGGACAAACUAACAAGCAACCUGUAUAACAACCAAAAAACUCCUAGUAAUCCACAUAGCUGCUAGCAAAAUACCAACUCACUUCCCUGCAAUUAACAUUCCACAGCUGUCAAGCAUUCCUCCUUUCUCAGCUUCCACUAGAUACAACCUUCUCCCAAACAAAUCAGACCAAUAACCCAAGCUCCAUAACCAACGAUCCAAUUCACCAGAUACCAACAAUCGAAUUCACAAGAAUCAUUUGUAAUCGCCACAGUUGCCAGACCCACAGCUUCCACCUUCAUUUCAGCACUCUUGACUUAACCACCUUGGUUCCCGCCCCUUCUCACCUGGUUUAUAUUUGAAACAAUCUCAUUUAUAGAGUAAAAGCACACAACAUUAUGUGAUUUCAACCAGAUGGCUAAUCCUACUUCGAUACUCAACCAAAGUUGGAGGCAUUGAGGGAGUUUAUCAAAGUGAGAUUAGCCAUCUGGUUGAAAUCACAUAAUGUUGGGUGCUUUUACUCUAUAAAUGAGAUUGUUUCAAAUAUACACCUGGUGAGAAGGUGCUGGAACCGAGGUGGUUAAGUCAGGACUGUUGAAAUGAAGGUGGAAACUGUGAGUCUGGCAGCUGUGGUGAUUACAAAUGAUUCUUGUGAAUUGGAUUGUUGGUAUCUUGUGAAUUGGAUGGUUGGUUAAGGAGCUUGGGCUAUUGAACUGAUUUGUUUAGGAGAAGGCUGCAUCUGGUGGAAGUGAGAAAUGAGGAAUGCUUGACUUCUGUGGGAUGUUAAUUCCAAGGGAUGUGGGUUGGUAUUUUGCUAGCAGCCAUGUGGAUUACUUGGGGUUUUAUGGCUGUUACACUGGUUGCUUGUUAGUUUAUCCAUUGUUUCACUUUUAGCUUUCUUUUUGUUUUGCGUAUUGUAGUUGUUGGUUGGUGACAGCAAUUUUGAGUUGUGCUAGCAAAUGAUUGGGCAAGCUAUUUCGGUGUUAACCUAGUUAGGAUCGUUUAGUUUUGCUGUGAUGCUCUUUUGCACUUGCCCUUCUUUUAUUGAUGAUAAUCAUUUGUAUUGUUCCUUGAUUAUUAUUAUUAAAGUUUAUUUUUUUUGAUAAAAUAUAUAUAUACAUUGCAUUUAUGCUAAUUAUAAUUUUUGUAGUUUCAUAGUCCGAGAGUUUUUAUCAUUGGAUAUAAUGGGAUUGAAGCCGGAAAUGAGGAUAAAAUAUCAAGAAUUCUCCAGUAUCACCCGAUCACGAUUUAUAUAGCCGGCCAUGAGUCUUUUGAUUGUUAUAAAGGGGAAUAAACCACUAAAUAAGAAAAUGUUUUAUUUGAAUAAUUUUGAAAUAACUUGUAAUUAAAUGUUAUUGUAAUUUAUUUUUUAUAUGUAGGGCGUGUACAAGCCACCCGUUUUUUACACGGGCUAGAUGUGAUGAAGCUGAGUGAUGAAUUAGAUCUUGUCAACCAUCCACUGGUGGAAUGCCAUGUGAUUUGUCUUGUAGGCAAGGGGACUUACAAUGGAGAACCCGUCUGGCUGAUAAAAAAAUUCUUGGGGGAAGAAGUGGGGUAUAGGUGGCUAUGCAUACAUCCCACGCAACGGAAGCUACGCUAGAGUCAUAGGGAUAAAUUGCUUUCCAUCUUUUCCAGUUAUCGGUGAUCACAAAAGAUAUGAGAAGGCUCGCCUCUAUAAGUAUCCAAGGUUUUAAAGGUAAUGUUAUCACAUUUGGGGAUAUUGAGCUCUCUCUCCCUCUCUUAUUUUUCUGUCAUAAAAGCCAAACACUGCCCAAGGAGGAUUGGAAAUGUAUAAAUCUUGAAAUGGGUCAUUAUUUUGCAAAGAAAGAGAAGGAAAUAGUAUUUGUUGAUAUGUUUGCAAUCGAUGAAGAAGGCGAACAAGCAAGCGGAAAACUGAAACGUUGGGUAGGUAUUUCUACAGACUGGGAGAUGCCUAGAGAGUUUUGCUAAGCGCCAAGGCUUGAGACUUCAAACUGUGUACAUUAGCUUCAACCAUGACUUAACUUAGAAGGGAAGUAUACAGAGAUAUGUGAUUGGUACAUGUGUCAAAUGACACUGGAUAAUGGCGUGGUGUUGAUGUGGCCUGUCUUGUGUGUGUUUGCACAAGCAGCACUGCUUUCUUUGUACAAUCAUCUUACUCUAAUCUUGUCCCAAAUAUUUUCUUGACUAUCUCCUUAUGUCAUGACUAUAUUCCAGACAAAAAAUUGUUUGUUGUUGAGUUAGGUUUGUACUUGUACUGUAAUUGUCUUAAUAAUUCCAUAUAUUCAGUUUAUGGUGGUUUCUAAGAUGAUCAGGAUUGCACUUUUUUUUUAAUGAACAUACCUAUUGGUUUACAUUACCCAUUUGCAUCACAUUCCUUCACAUCCAAUCUUUGACCUUUUUGAUGGGUUUGUGAGACCAACAAACCCACCCAAUUAAUAAGUUAUGGUCUAACACUAUGUUCAAGUAAUAACGGAGCUUGGUCCCUCGUCCAAUAACAUCAUUGCUAAAUGGUGGAGUUUAUAGAUAUAUAUCUUGUUUGCUAGUCACUUGAAUAUUUUCAUGUUUAACCUUUCCCAUGCUAAAAAUAAAUUUAAAAUCUGUUUGAACUAUUUUUGGAUUUUAUUUAGGGCUAUAUACAGUGGUGGGAUGAAUGGUUACAUAGCCCGUUGUGCUGGAGAUCCUUGCCCCCCAAUUUUCCAGUCACCAGUUUCUGGAAUGGACGAUAUUAUGGACAAUCAAGUCGUCUAAGCUUACAUGCAAUCAAAAUAAUUGUGUUGGAUUAAUUGAAUUCCCUUUUUUUAUCUUGAGCUGUUACAUUGUGUUUACUUUUUCCCUAUUCACCAUCUAGAUACGCUCUAUACAGACUUCUAGAUGCUCACAAACAUCACUCGACCACUUGCUAGGGUUGUAUUCCCGAAGAAGGUUUUAUCUUGUCAUGUUCUCUGCUUGUCAUUAUCAUUCCUCUUGUUAGUAGUUUAUUUAUUUUUAUUUCUGCAUUUUGUUUCAAUACAUCAGGCAUCUACUUGUAUAGAGAUGCAUCUUUGUUUUUGUGAUUAACCCUUAUGCGUGUCUACUUAUUUCAUGGUUAUGCAAGGUAAUGGAAAUCAAGAAGAUAAUAACAAAUAAUGAUGGGAGAUGCAUUCAACCAAGGUUUAGAGGGAGCACAAAGACUCACAAUGGUUCAAUAUUAGACUAGGUAAUGGAAAUAAGAAAGAUGAUAACAAAUAAUGAUGGAGAUGCAUUCAACCAAGGUUUAGAGGGAGCACAAAGACUCACAAUGUUUCAAUAUUAGACCAGCCCUAAAUCAAUCAAAGAGCUUAGCAGAGAACAAAAAGAGAGAGAGAGAAGGCGAAGAUAACAGAGGAGAAAGAGAACUUGGUCGCUCGUCGUCGCUCCUCGGUCGUCGCUCAGCGCUCGUAAGGUAUAGCUUCUUCUUCCUUCCUCGGCUUCGGUUUUCUUCCUUCUUCCUUCUUCUUCUGGUCUUCGUUCGUCAGUCGAUGUUUCUCUCUCUCUCUGUCUGUCGACGUCUCCUCUCUCUUUCUCUCUUUGAGUAUAUUUUUGUUUUUUAUUUUGUUUUUUCAUGUCUUUUUUUUUUCUAUUUUCAUUUUAUAUUUUUUUCC